GCAAUCUUAGUUUAUUUGAGUAAUGUUGGUUUGUCUAACCAGAGGUAGUGUUGGCUAGGUUGCU
rnacentral:tRNA from 1 species